rnacentral:rRNA from 1 species
UACGUAGGGACCAAGCGUUGUCCGGAAUCAUUGGGCGUAAAGAGCGUGCAGGCGGCUUGUUAAGUCUUGCGUGAAAUCUCGGGGCUCAACCCCGAGCGGUCGUGAGAAACUGGCAGGCUAGAGUGCGGGAGAGGAGAGUGGAAUUCCUGGUGUAGCGGUGAAAUGCGCAGAUAUCAGGAAGAACACCCGUGGCGAAGGCGGCUCUCUGGAACGCAACUGACGCUGAGACGCGAAAGCGUGGGGAGCAAACAGG